rnacentral:rRNA from 1 species
UACGGGGGGGGCAAGCGUUGUUCGGAAUUACUGGGCGUAAAGGGCUCGUAGGUGGCCAACUAAGUCAGACGUGAAAUCCCUCGGCUUAACCGGGGAACUGCGUCUGAUACUGGAUGGCUUGAGUUCGGGAGAGGGAUGCGGAAUUCCAGGUGUAGCGGUGAAAUGCGUAGAUAUCUGGAGGAACACCGGUGCGAGGACGGCGAUCCUGGACCGACACUGACACUGAGGAGCGAAAGCCAGGGGAGCAAACGGG